CGAUCCAUGACGGUGAAUAAUAUUCAAUAACAAUAAUCCUUUUCAAAACUAUGUGUGAGAGCUAAUGGUAAAAAUCCAUAAUAUGUCACACAUAAACUUAAUUACUGUCACUGUUAUUGUUGAUCUCUAGCUCCAAUACCCGAAAACUGGCCUGAUCAGUCCGAUUCAGAGGUAGAGUGAAAAAAAGAUGGCGACAUCAGAAGCUUUUUUGCUGAUGUGCUGUAAUAGUAAAGUUUAUUUUAUAAAAGUAAUUAGAUUUUAAAAUAAUGUUUCACUGGAGCCCAUUUAGUUCUUUAGCUGUGUUACAAAAUGUCCAGAGAAAUGGACAAAAUCCUAGCAGAUUCAGUAAUAUAUACAGGUAUACUUACGCAAAUAUUUCUUCCGUGCAAACAUUGCUCCAGCCAGUUUUCACCACAAGGCCGCCAAGUAUAAAUUACCUGUGAAUGGAAAAAAACAUCCGGUCAUCGAAUCAGCAUUCAAGCUAGCAGCCAUUUUCGAGAGCUCCCCAUAUCAGCAACACGAUUCGAUUCGGAGAAGUAACAUCCAGAUGACCGUCAAGGUCACCUUCAAAUCGACGGUAAUCAGUUUAUCGUUCCGGUGUCGUUGUUUUCGUGAAACUGAACCAAAUGACCGCCAUGUCGCUAUGACGAAAAAGUUGCUUGAUUAAUUGGCGAAAUUAGAAGGCUCGCUCAUUGUGCCGAACAAUAACACUCGGAUGACAGGAUUGUUUCCGGUUCAGUACGAAAUUGAAUCAGAUUGCUCUGCGUCGCAUGAACAGGUACAAGAUCUGAACCUAUCCAGCUUUUACGAGAGUGGAAAUGUUUCAAACUCCAAGGUUAUAAGUGAAAACUAUUUCCCACCCCUAAAAAGUUGUGCCUUUGGCGACCGAAUUUCCAUAUGAUGGCAGCGCUGGACAUGAACAACGAAUUUUCUCUUCCAUGGAGGCGCUCACACUCUAUAUGGUCGACAGGUAGGGUCGACUCGGGUCGACAUAUCUCAUCGAGAUGGCUGCCGUGCCAUACGUGAUUUUCUGCGGAAUAUCCUGCGACACUCAGCAGUCCCCGGUGGACGACAUGAUGCAUUAGUAGGAGUACCACUCGAGUAGCUGGUAGAUUCAGCAAGUGUGUAUCACAACUGAACGAGAUCAAAUGCUUCAAUUUUAACUACAACGCGCCGUUUCAUUCGUGCUACUCCGACCAUCUCUCACUUAUCGGAUGAUUUUCGCCAAAACACCUGAAAAGUGUGAACACUGUUAAACUUUAUCGUGAGCUACGAACGGAUCCUAAAGACGGUCAUAAUUUGCUGCCAGAA